rnacentral:pre_miRNA from 1 species
UACAGACAAAUUUAUUGCUUAAAAUGAAAUUAACCAACUUUCUUAAAAUGCAUAAAAUAGUUAAUGUUUUAUAAUUAGUAUGAUUACCCGUGUAAUGUAACAUUGUGAUUUUUCUAAUUCAUGAUAAAGUGAUUGAAAAUAAUUAUAAGAGUUAGUUUAAUUUAAUUUUAAAGAAUAAUUAAUAAAUA